GGACCCGUAGCUCAGCUUGGAUCAGAGCGCCGCCCCUCUAAGGCGGAUGCCGUGGGUUCAAAUCCCACCGGGCCCG
rnacentral:tRNA from 1 species